AUGCUGGUAUUUUCGAUAAACCUGUGGUAUGAAAUGCAACAGCCCUUCUUAUGCCUGGGGAAGGCUUCCAGACUGGGCUGCUGGUGGCAUUUCAAACACUCAAGAGCUCUGCUCAGACCGCACUUUGACCAGUUCCGGACGACUCUAGCAAGGAGGAUGGCGUGGGGCCCGCAAACAGCGGUUCUUCAGGGCAACCAAUCUCCUGCUGGCGCUCGGGAACCGCAGGAGGGAGCGCGCUGCCCUCCGCAGAUGCGCCGCCCCGGCGGAGCCGCCCGCUCCCAGUCCCGAUCCCGAUCCCGAUCCCGAUCCCAGGCCAGCUCCCCGUCCCGCUCCUGCUCCUGCUCCCAGUCCCGAUCCCAGUCCCGCUCCCCUCCCCGCCUCUGCCGCACCGGGAGAGCCCGUCCUGCCCUGCCCGCGGGGCUCGGGCGUUCAGCAGCCCCGGGGUUCACGGGUGGCUUCUCUUCCUCAGAUAGAAGAUAGCAGCCUGGAAUGUCGUGUUCGUUUUUAUCUCCCUGCCACCACCCGCUGUUACUGGCACCAGCCCGUCAGGAUGUGACUGUCCCUUCUGGAUUUCAACAGGGUAAAGGGAAGGAGAUGGCAGAUCUCCUCUUUAGCCAUCCAGGUCCCGAGUGUCCCCAUUAAACAUUUUUUAAAAUGUAUGAAUCAGUGAAGUUUGUGGGUUUUUUGCAUGAAUUUCUGAGAAUGCCCAUGAAAUCAGUAUCUUCACCGACCUCACCUUCCCCAGCUACAACAGCAUUAGCAGCAGCACGAGCUGGAUACACAGCACGUUCUACAAACAUCAUUUCUGAGGUUCUAGCUCUGCUUUCCCCCCUAGAAUAAAGGCAGCUGCUCACUUUUCACUGUGCUUGCAUUGCAAGAGGCACUGGAAGCAGCCUGCUGCAUCCUCCACCUCUGCACCCGCUCAGCCCUGAGCUCCUGCUGGUGCCAUUACCAGUGACAGCUGUUGCCAAGACAGUUUUAUGUACCCACUGAGACAGGCACUGGCAGGCACCAUUUUCUUGUUUUUAACCAUGUCUGGUGUAAAAGGGGCUCCCUGUUGACUGCAAACUGGCAAAAGGUUUCUGGAAAGCUGGUUCAGCUAUGGUACCAUCCAGUCCGUUCCAACAGCUGAUCCUUGGCAUCGACACUGUAGAAACACUGAGGCAAAAUUGUUCAGAAAACUGUACCCUAUGGAUUUCUCCGUUGUCUGUACCAUAGUACCAAAAGAAACUACAAGUGCUGUUAGAGGAACACACCAUUUCUAAAAGAGUACUAACUCUGCUCCUUCAUCCACUGGUGAAUCACAUACUACUGCAAAACAAAGCUUAUCCACUUUUUAGGUUUUAAUUUUAAUUUUUUUUGGUUUUGACCAAUAAAACUUUCCCUGCAAUAUUGUUGCCUUUUUCUUUCUUUCUUUUUUUUUUUUUUUAAGCUCUUGGCUGUUUAUGUGCUUUGGAAAAGUAAUUACUUGACAUGACUGAUGAAACAGACACACUGCAGAAUCAAUUAACCUAUUCCUAUCCGAAGAAAAUAGCAUGCACAAAAAACUUUGGUUCCAUGUAGACCUAAACAGAAGGUAACACAGGAAUAUUGAUAUGGGACAAUUUAAAGCUCUUCAGCAAACAAGCUUAAAUUAAAACUUUCAAUUAAUUGCUACGCAUCUCAGCUUCACUGGUAAGUGGGAAGAUGAGAGUUGAUGAAGUUCUUUCAGAACCAUUUUUUGUGGGCAGGAUUCAGGUGGAGAGGCAGCAGGGGGUGGGGGAAAAAUGUUUUGUAGCUAUUUACACGUCCCCAGAUAUCCUAAAUGGUGAUGAAGAGAGGUGAAUAUAGUAAGAGUGGUGGGAACAGUUUGUCAACAAGUAUUGCUACACAGCAUGCACAAGAGUUAAUAAAAUAAAUUAUACACCACAUUUUCUUUUCAAGCAAGCUUUAAAUAGUCCAUAUGUAACAGAAUCAUGUGUUACAGGCAAGAAAGUCUUGCACAAGAAAGUCUUGCUGCCAAAACAGGAUGAGUGUUUUUCCCGAUUGUUCUUUCGCAAGAAAGUCUUGCUGCCAAAACACAGGAUGAGUGUUUUUCCCGAUUGUUCUUUCCAAAUUACAGACUUAAGAAAAAAUAUUUCAAGAAAUUACAAGAUUUUAAAAAAUAAAAUUAUGCUAAAACCCAGAAAAGGCCAAUAGAACAGACUGGUGAAGUAAAUGAAAAAGUCAUCAGAAGAAUGUUAGUACACAGGUACUUACAAAAAACAUACAAGAAUGGAGAUAAAGGCUUUUAAGCCACAGAUACUAAGCAGGCUAAUUCAGGAUCAAAGGGCAGAAUGCAUAGGCUUUAUUAUAAAUUCUGUAAUUCAUGCAUUUGUGUGUGCAGAUAAAAUAUAUUUAAAGCCAUGUAUUUAAAUGCCAUCAAAAAGACACCUGAACUUCUCUGAGCAACAACUGGUGACUUCAGGGAAGAGUCCAGUUUUGCUUAUUUUUGUGCACUGGCCUAAUCCAAACUCAUAAUCUGCAAAAAGGAACAAAGUAUAAGAAAGCAAGCAGGUAUUUUAUCUGAGCCACCCAGCAACACCGGGACAAAGAUCCAAACCCCUUUUUUGGUAAUCAGCGUCCCUGGAAUGGAAUGGCAGCAGCACCAGCCUGGAGAAUUCUCAGUGUGUUUCAGAAAGUGGCUCCAAGGGUUGAAUGGAAAAAAUUAGAAAUUAACCCUAUAGUAGAUAGAUAGAUAGAUAGAUAGAGAGAUAGAUAGAUAGAUAGAUAGAUAGAUAGAUAGAUAGAUAGAUAGAUAGAUAGAUAGAUAGAUAGAUAGAUAGAUAGAUAGAUAGAUAGAUA
rnacentral:lncRNA from 12 species